CCUACGGGUGGCAGCAGUGGGGAAUAUUGGACAAUGGGGGCAACCCUGAUCCAGCCAUGCCGCGUGUGUGAAGAAGGCCCUCGGGUUGUAAAGCACUUUCAGUGAGGAAGAACGCCUGGUGGUUAAUACCCAUCAGGAAAGACAUCACUCACAGAAGAAGCACCGGCUAACUCCGGGCCAGCAGCCGCGGUAAUACGGAGGGUGCGAGCGUUAAUCGGAAUUACUGGGCGUAAAGCGAGCGUAGGUGGCUUGAUAAGCCGGUUGUGAAAGCCCCGGGCUCAACCUGGGAACGGCAUCCGGAACUGUCAAGCUAGAGUGCAGGAGAGGAAGGUAGAAUUCCCGGUGUAGCGGUGAAAUGCGUAGAGAUCGGGAGGAAUACCAGUGGCGAAGGCGGCCUUCUGGACUGACACUGACACUGAGGUGCGAAAGCGUGGGUAGCAAACAGGAUUAGAUACCCCUGUAGUC
rnacentral:rRNA from 1 species